UACGUAGGGUCCGAGCGUUGUCCGGAAUUAUUGGGCGUAAAGGGCUCGUAGGCGGUUCGUCACGUCGGGAGUGAAAACUCGGGGCUUAACCCCGAGCCUGCUUCCGAUACGGGCAGACUAGAGGUAGGCAGGGGAGAGCGGAACUCCUGGUGUAGCGGUGGAAUGCGCAGAUAUCAGGAGAACACCGGUGGCGAAAGGCGGGCUCUCG
rnacentral:rRNA from 1 species